rnacentral:rRNA from 1 species
AGUGAACGCUGGCGGCGUGCCUAAUACAUGCAAGUCGAACGGACGAGUAAGAGCUUGCUCUUAUGAGUUAGUGGCGCACGGGUGAGUAAUGUAUAGCUAAUCUGCCCUACACUAGAGGACAACAGUUGGAAACGACUGCUAAUACUCUAUACUCCUCUCUAGCAUAAGUUAGAUAGGGAAAGUUUUUCGGUGUAGGAUGAGGCUAUAUUGUAUCAGCUAGUUGGUGAGGUAAUGGCUCACCAAGGCUAUGACGCAUAACUGGUCUGAGAGGAUGAUCAGUCACACUGGAACUGAGACACGGUCCAGACUCCUACGGGAGGCAGCAGUAGGGAAUAUUGCUCAAUGGGGGAAACCCUGAAGCAGCAACGCCGCGUGGAGGAUGACACUUUUCGGAGCGUAAACUCCUUUUGUUAGGGAAGAACAAUGA